AGUGAACGCUGGCGGUAGGCCUAACACAUGCAAGUCGAACGGCAGCACAGUAAGAGCUUGCUCUUACGGGUGGCGAGUGGCGGACGGGUGAGGAAUACAUCGGAAUCUACUUUUUCGUGGGGGAUAACGUAGGGAAACUUACGCUAAUACCGCAUCCGACCUACGGGUGAAAGCAGGGGAUCUUCGGACCUUGCGCGAUUGAAUGAGCCGAUGUCGGAUUAGCUAGUUGGCGGGGUAAAGGCCCACCAAGGCGACGAUCCGUAGCUGGUCUGAGAGGAUGAUCAGCCAAACUGGAACUGAGACACGGUCCAGACUCCUACGGGAGGCAGCAGUGGGGAAUAUUGGACAAUGGGCGCAAGCCUGAUCCAGCCAUACCGCGUGGGUGAAGAAGGCCUUCGGGUUGUAAAGCCCUUUUGUUGGGAAAGAAAAGCAGCAGGUUAAUACCCCGCUGUUCUGACGGUACCCAAAGAAUAAGCACCGGCUAACUUCGUG
rnacentral:rRNA from 1 species